rnacentral:rRNA from 1 species
UACAGAGGUGGCAAGCGUUGUUCGGAAUUACUGGGCGUAAAGGGCGCGUAGGCGGUUCGUUAAGUCCUGUGUGAAAUCCCCCGGCUCAACUGGGGAACUGCACAGGAAACUAGCGGGCUUGAGUUCGGGAGAGGGAAGCGGAAUUCCGGGUGUAGCGGUGAAAUGCGUAGAUAUCCGGAGGAACACCUAUGGCGAAGGCAGCUCGCUGGGACGUUACUGACGCUGAGACGCGAAAGCGUGGGGAGCAAACAGG